CUGGGCUGCUCCGUACCCGCGGUGCUUGUUCUUUAGUACCCGGGGUGCUCGGUCCCCGCGGUGUUCAGUGCUUAGUACCCGGGGUGCUCGGUGCUCAGUCUGCUAGGUGCUCGGUGCUGAGUCCCCGCGGUGCUAGGUACUAAGUUCCCGGGGUGCUCAGUCCCCGCGGCGCUCAGUGUUUAGGACCUGGGGUAUUCGGUGCUCAGUUCGCUGGGUGCUUGGUGCUGAGUCCCCGCGGUGCUAGGCGCUCAGUCUAGGGUGCCCGGUGCUUAGUACCUGGUGUACUCGGUCCCCGCGGUACUCGGUUCCCUCGGUGCUCAGUCAGCUGGGUGCUUGGUUCCAUCGGUGUUCGGUGCUCGGUCACCGCCAUGCCCGGCCCCGCCGGGUCCAUCGCCGUCAUCCUCCUGCUGCAGCUCCAGAUCCGGGAGAGCGCGGGUGAGUGGGGAUGGGCGGGCGGGGUCCUCGGGGCUCGCGGGGUCAUGUGGGGCCCGGGCCGGGGUCGCGGUGACGUCAGAGAGGGCGCAGCCGCGUGGUACCCACUUCCGGGAUCCGAUCAGGCACGGGUGGCGGACAAGGCUGGGGACGGGAAAUCCCGCCCCCGAGUCCAGAUUGACAGGUGGAGUUUACAGCUAGAAAGUCCCGCCCCGGGCGCCCAGACUGACAGGCCGGGAGCGCAGCCUCGGGGCGCUCAGUCUCUCCCCGUCCCUGACGUCACCCGUCCUCGCCCCCCAGAAGACUUCACCGUAGUUUGCCGUGACCUGCGCGACGUGGAGGUCACGUGGGACCCAGCCGAGCAUGCAGGGGCGAAUCUGAGCCUGACUUGGCGCUACACCUCAGAACCCCUGCGGCCCUGCCCCCGGUACUUCCUGUCCGGCGGCCUCACUUCCGGCUGCGUCCUCCCAGUGCGCAGCGGACGCCCCCUGGAGAUUGACGUGCGUCGGGGGGCGGAACCCGUGUACCACUGGAAGGGGCUGGCCUCAGCCUUCCUGAAGCCCCGCCCUCCCGACAAACUAACUCUCCAUUGGCUGGACGAUGCCAUCCAUGUCACAUGUCCUGCCCUCCCCCACAUUGGCCUCGAUUAUGUCAUCCAGCACCGAGGGAUGGGGGACACGGACUGGGUGACUUCCUGUCCCGUCUCGCAGGCCUCCGCUCCAGCGCCCUCCUGUGAUGUCACCGUGGGCGGAGUCGACCGCAGUGCCUGCCUAGCCUUCAGGGUCCGGGCGUUCCCGCGGGAAUCGUUCUAUGGAGGCGAAGUGCAGCCUAGCGAUUGGAGCCCUGUGACACAAUGGAGGGCCGGUGACGCCAUGGGUGCAGGGAAUGACUCCUGUCAGGCCCCGCCCUAUUCCGGGUUCCCAAAGCUCCAGGUCGCCUGUGGCCUCGUGACCUUGCUGACAUCAUUGCUGCUGCUGCUGGCACUGUGGAGGGUCAAGCACAGCCUCCUCCCCUGGGUCCCCGACCCCAGGGGUGGCUUCCGAGGACUGUUUGAGCGACAUGGUGGGAACUUCCAGGCCUGGAUUGCACAGGACGUGUCUCCGCCCCCGAAGCCCGAAGCCAUUGACCCCACUGACCCUGCUGAGGUGGCCCUGGUCCUGGAGCAUCAUGGGAAGGGCUCGGCACCCGACCCAGCCUUGGGGUCUCCUGGGCUCCCCUGCCAGGGCCCGAGGGACAGGGACCUGGUGAGGGUGGGCGGGGCCACCUUCGUGAUGGAUGGAGGUUCAUACAUGACCCUGUGACCCCGACGUGACCCUGCUGGCUGUGACCCCGUCGGCCUUGAUGAAAGAAUUAGCUCAUAGUGCAUGCUGGGAAGAGGGAAAAUUUCUGGGUCUGCAUUUCUAGUAAAACGUCACAUGUGAGUCUCAAGUAUUAUGAUGUCACAUGUGAGUUUCUGGUAUGUGAGUGUCAUAUUACUGUGGGGUUCUUAUGCACAGCAUGACGCCUCGCAGACUGAACUACAUCUCCUAGCAUUCACUGCGGCUCCUUCCUUAUUACUUCUGGCUGUCAAGCAAUUUUUUUCCUGAUUCCGAGUAUAAGCCAGCAGAGCUCUUAAUAUUGCGGGUGCUGUGAGGUGAACUACUUCUCCCAGGAUGUACUUUGAUUUCGUUAUCUCACUUCCGGCGGGGAUUCACGUACUUCUGAUUCCCAGUAUGAAGCAGGGCUGUGGGGCUCUCACGUUGAACCAGCAUGCAUUACGGGGCUACUCCUGACUUCCGGCUGUCAACGCGUCCUGAUUCCCAGUGUAAACCAGUGCAGUCCGGGAAUGCAGCGUGGAGACACAAUUUGGGCCUCCCAGAGUAAACUACAUCUCUCAGUAUGCACUGCGUCGCCGGGAAUCUCACUUCCAACUGUAAAGCACAUUUUUCCGAUUCCCAGUUUAAGUCAGUGCUGUGCAGGACGGAAGCCGGUGUGGGCCUACCAGGGAGAACUACAUCUUCUAGCUUGCACUACGGCCCCUGGAUCUCACUUCCGGUAACCCGAACUUCUCGUUCACGGCGUCUGUGACCAUGGUAGGAUCCUAUUGUGAACUACAUCUCCCAGUAUGCCCGGCGGCUCUUCCUGGACCUAUUUCUGAUGUCAUUAGCUGUCACUCCGACCGCCGGUACAACCGAAAGUGUUCACCACUGCGCCGGUUUCUCGGGCACGCCGUGUCCGUUGACCGGGGUCCCAGGUGAACUACAUCUCCCAGAAGCCUCGGCGGUGUUCUACAAAACUUCCGGUACAUACCGAAAACGCCCGUGCCUGCCUUAUUAACGAAUCCCCGCCGUGGUCUAUCGGUGGGCGGUGUUUCGCGGUAAACUACAUCUCCCAGAAUGCUCGGGAUUGCUGCCGAGUUCGUAAAGUUCCGCCGUGACUGUGAAUCGGGGUCCCAUGUGAGCCACGUCUCCCAGAGGGCUCGGCGGUUUGCCCAACUACUUUCUAGUAUACACCAGAAUCGCGUUUGACCAGCUUCCUAGGCCCCACGGUACUUGGAGUGAAAUCUGGUUCUGUGUUGAGGAUCCGCGAUCUUCUCGUGUGCGUGAAAUCCUUCCGGGGAAAAUUCAUUCUACAUCCCAUGGCAUGUGCGCCUGUGCUGUUACAACACACGUGCCUCGCACCCAAGUCCCCUGCAUGGGGCGGGAUGGCGCCUGACAUGGUGACAGACAUGCGGGACCCAGACAUGACCCCAAGGGCCUCGGUGCCGAUGUCAUUGUAGCAUCACCCAUGGCAUGUGCUGACAUGUGUUGUCUGUGAAAGGUGACCGCCGGGUGUUCAUUCACACGGGCUGUGCGUGUGCUGUCAUCAGGCAACAUCGCCAUCUUGACAUCGUCACAAUCAUUGUGUGACAUCACCGUGACCAUGGCAUGACAUCACUGCAUGUUAUAUUGGUCAUUCUUCCACACAGGUGACGUAGGUUCUUGUGUUCCACACGUGUCCCUGUCUGUUUUUUCACAUGUUUCACAGAUUCACACAUUUUCUCAUGUGUUUUACACACUCAGCCUGGUUCAUUGUUUAUUUCCACAUACAGACCAGUGUGCAAGUCAAGCUUUAGCCUGGUUGUUAUGCAUGUGGACAUUCAUCAUGCAUGUACGUGGCUGUUUCUGUUUUUUUCCCCACAGUUUAGACACGCAGAACAAUUUAUGUGUUCAUAUGUUUUAUGUGUUCAUCACGGGUAAUUUUGAUUUUCCGGAUCUCAUCCAUUCCAUGUGUGUUCGCGUGGAGCCGCCUUCCGAUGGUCUGCACCCGUUCAUUUACUUUCCAUGUGUUUUCUGCAUGCGUCGUUAGCUCCUGGUUUGUAAUAAUUCCCUAUCACAGGUUCAUCUGUAUGUUCAGCCAUGUUCAUUCAGUUCAUGUAUUAAAAUCGCUCGAUUCUCU